rnacentral:rRNA from 1 species
AAUGAACGCUGGCGGCAUGCCUAACACAUGCAAGUCGAACGAAGGCUUCGGCCUUAGUGGCGCACGGGUGCGUAACGCGUGGGAAUCUGCCCCUUGGUUCGGAAUAACAGUUGGAAACGACUGCUAAUACCGGAUGAUGACGUAAGUCCAAAGAUUUAUCGCCGAGGGAUGAGCCCGCGUAAGAUUAGCUAGUUGGUGUGGUAAAGGCGCACCAAGGCGACGAUCUUUAGCUGGUCUGAGAGGAUGAUCAGCCACACUGGGACUGAGACACGGCCCAGACUCCUACGGGAGGCAGCAGUGGGGAAUAUUGGACAAUGGGCGAAAGCCUGAUCCAGCAAUGCCGCGUGAGUGAUGAAGGCCUUAGGGUUGUAAAGCUCUUUUAC